UACGGAGGAUCCAAGCGUUAUCCGGAUUUAUUGGGUUUAAAGGGUGCGUAGGCGGCUUAUUAAGUCAGGGGUGAAAGACGGUGGCUCAACCAUCGCAGUGCCCUUGAUACUGAUGAGCUUGAAUACACUUGAGGUAGGCGGAAUGUGACAAGUAGCGGUGAAAUGCAUAGAUAUGUCACAGAACACCAAUUGCGAAGGCAGCUUGCUAAGGUGCAAUUGACGCUGAGGCACGAAAGCGUGGGGAUCAAACAGG
rnacentral:rRNA from 1 species